GAUGAAGAACGUAGCGAAAUGCGAUAACUAGUGUGAAUUGCAGAAUUCCGUGAAUCAUCGAGUCUUUGAACGCACAUUGCGCCCCCUGGUAUUCCGGGGGGCAUGCCUGUCCGAGCGUCAUUGCUGCCCAUCAAGCACGGCUUGUGUGUUGGGUCGUCGUCCCCCCCUCCGGGGGGGGACGGGCCCUAAAGGCAGCGGCGGCACCGCGUCCGAUCCUCGAGCGUAUGGGGCUUUGUCACCCGCUCUGUAGGCCCGGCCGGCGCUUGCCGAACGCAAAACAACCAUUCUUUCCAGGUUGUCCUCGGAUCAGGUAGGGAUACCCGCUGAACUUAAGCAUAUCAAUAAGCGGAGGA
rnacentral:misc_RNA from 1 species